GGAGAUUUCCGAAUCACACCUUUUCUUCGUGGUGAACAAGAAGCAAGAAUGAAAUAUUUUUUGGAGGUUUUGCAUCGAUCAAUCCUGAAUAGAUUUGAAGGUAUUAUGCUUUGUUUAAUGUCAAUUCUUGUAGUAGAGUACUUAGAUUGAUGGUAAAUAUAAAUAUUUGGGAAAUCGAGCCCGAGUUUAGCUCGACAUUUCGGUAUAAAGUUUGUACUUGUUUAUUGGUGAAUUAUUUAUGGUGAAAUUAAAAGUUUUUUGUUGUUGUCUUGUGAAAGUGUAAAGAAAAACAAAAAAACCUUGUUUCAUGUAUUUCUGCUGCAAACGAGUUAAAUCUAAUAUAUUUACCUGAAGGAUUGCAAAGAUAUUUGACGGAUUCAAAACGAGCUCUAUACAUAUUCAAAUACAAUGGCGGCCAUUUAAUUAUGGACCGACUAGUAAUUCGUCAACUGAUAAUCUUUGCAAUCCGUAUAUGUAUUUGCCAUAACUCAUCGUUUAUAGUAGUUAAUACAAGUAGGCCAAACAAUGUUUUUUUAUAGUAUAGUAUAGAAGUCUUUAUUUAAAGUCAUACUGCGCAACAAAACGUGCGAGUUUACAACAUUGACCGAUUUUUAUAUAGUAUAUAACAUUUGAUACAAUUUUAAAUAAAUUUAAAAAGACACCUGUUUAUUAUAAAACUACUCUUAAAACGCUCAGUGCGUAUACGUGGUAAAAUGUAAUUAUGUCCACGGUUUCGCAAUUGCCUUGUUCUUUCUGGUGGAAGCAAGUCAUAUAGGCAAUGGUUCGAAUUAUCCGUGAUUGAUUUCCAUAAUUUCAUGUCUCUAUCGUUAAUUCUGUUAUUAAUAGUUAGGGCUUUUGUCGUGUAUCCAUAGCGUACUGCUCGUUUAAAAAAACUAUCUAUUCGACUGAGAUAUUUACUUUGAAAUGCUCCACCCCACACUUGAAUAGCGUAGAAGAAAAGUGAAACUAUAAGACUGUUGAAUAGCAUUUCUAGAUCUUUCAUUGGGAAACCAUAAAAUUUGCAGACUCUCAGAAUGUACAUACGUGAACCAGCUUUUUAUAAUUAUUGUUCCUUGAUAAAUCAAUAUUUAAAAAUUCUCCCUUGUUAAUAUAUAAAAUAUGGACUUUUGUCAACAGGCCCAAGGGGUUUGAGAAAAGAUCAGAAAUUUCCGAGGCUUUUCUGCAAAAAUGAACGAAUUUUAAAGAGGGUUGGGUGAAAACCGUUUACGAAGGGUUUUGAAAUCGAUUAUACCCAGAACAGGCCCGGUGGAGUGGAAUCAUCAAUGAAUGGCCAUUCUGUUGGGAUAGGGCCGUAGGACAAAUUUUACACAAACAAGAAAUCUGUUGGCCAUAUUUAUGUAAUCAUGAUUCAAAAAUAUGAGUAUCCCAAUUCUUAGUAAAACUCUCUUAAACAUGAUUGUGUAGAUAUAUUGCAAGUUCCAAGAAUGUUUAAUGAUGUUACCUGAAGAUUUGCUGAUUACUAAUAAUGAACUAAAAGGUAUGUAAUUGUUAUGCACCUAUCAAUGUUUUCCCCCUGAAGGGGGUACGGGCAACCCAGUGCAAUUUUGACAUUUUUAAAAUUUUGUCGUCAAAAUCCCCACUGUUGGGCAAGGAACGGCUAUCAAAUUUCCCCACGAUCUUCCUAAGAUAACAAGGCACACACAUGUUUUCCAAUGUGAACAUACAGUCUAUACUGGUUUAAACUUGUUAAAAAUUGAGACACUGUGAACAUGCAUUAUGUGUGAACACAAUGAACAUGCAUUAUGUGCUGUAUAUAUGAAGUUCAAUUGGAUUCAGAAAUUAGGGAACCACAUAGUAAUCAGCUAUCUUCAAUUCAAACUGGAAACUUUAAAACUUCAAAACUUAUUGUUGAAUUUUAUAGCUACUUCAUAGCAUUGUGUUAUUUCAAUCUAGCUUCAGAUUACUGGCUAUACCCAUUGAGUAGCAGCACAAGCCUGUUGACAAACUGUACAGUUGGUGUACAAAAGUGUACUUUCUAGUGUUUCUUAUUAAUGUAACUAGUUUCAGGUUUUCAAAAAUUACUUUUAAUUUUUUAGAUAUAUAUAUGUACAGUGCAAGUUCCCAAGAUGAGUCCAAGUUGUUGACUGAAGUAUUGUGAAUCAGGAAAAAUGAAUACUGUCAAUGGAAAGUAUAUAAAAAGGUCUUUAAAAUAUUUUCUUAUCUUAUUUUAUAUAUGAAAUGCUUUGAAAAUUGUGUGAUUGCUGAUGAUCAGUGUGUGUGCACAUUGUGAUACUGUAUUGUGGAAAAUUGCAAGGGCAAGGAGAUAAUGCGAGUUUAGGCGAUUUAAGCAAAAAAUGCACAACUUUUAUGCAAUGCGAGUUUGGGCGAUAUAGUAUCAUUCCUAUCCUUUUAUCACUUGUCACAAUUAUAAAAACUUUUUUUUAUUAUCUUAAACCAAAAAUUCACA